CGGAGUGAAGCAUCAAAGCAAGACAUAACUACAUCUCAGAUAAUAUAUUGCUUUAAGAUUACCAAUUACUCAACUAAAUUAAGCAUGUAGGAUGAUUUCUUCAUAUACUCUUUGUUUCCACAAGUUGGGUCAUAUCAAUGACUGCUUCCGAUGGUCGGAGUAGGAAGUUCAUUUGUAAGCCAUUACAAUGCUACAUAUGCUUGGGCAAGUUCUGGCCAUGAGCACUUCAAAUGUCUAGACCCUCAUCCAAUAUGAGUGCACAUAGAAUCACCAAAAAUCUAGCCUAUUCAGGGAUCCCUGAUCUUCGCAAUUAACAACAAAUGUCCAUUUUAUUAAUUUUACGAGAAUCCAAUCACUAGAAACACCAGUCGAGAAAUCCUUCCCAAAUACCCAUCUCCUUGCUGAAGGUCAUGAAGUUAUGUGCUUCUUGAAUUAGGCCAUGGGGAUCAAGGUUUGAGCCCCUGUUAGCAGAACCAGUUGGUAUCAGAGGGUGUUCCUGCAUUGUUAUGGCAGAUAAAGGGUGCCACGACCUUGUCAAGGAAACCUAGAUAUGAGACAUAUGCAAGUAGCUUCAUCAGGCUUAAGUCCCUUUUAACAUUUCAUCAUGCAUAUUUCUAGCCUACCUAAACUAUGGCCAUCCCCUACAACAUGAACCAUGAGCCCUGCAGGUGGCUUUGAUUCCACCAUAUCAUGCAACUCAUUAUGACCCCAAAUCAACAAUUUGCAAAAUUUGGUGAAUCAAUUUGUCAAAUUUAAGCAAAAUUGAGUUAUUAUUGACUGAGGAAGUGAAGAAAAUGAGGGGUUUCAGGCAAAAGGCAGAUUCUAACACAUCGAAGAAAACCCAAAUUCACAAAAGGGGGGACCAGAACCCCCUUUGAUUUGCUUUGAUACAAAGCAGUUCAGAAUACCUCAAAUAGGAGAAAAAACCUAAUAAAUUGAAGUGUGAUAAACCCUCUAUAAAGUAGAAUUCUCUCCGUGCAAUUCAUUUUCUUUGUAGAACCAUAGAUUUUGCAAAGACCAAAAUAUAUAUAAAGAAAGAGAGAGAGAGCAAUUCUUCUUUGUAGAACCAAAGAUUUUGCAAAGACCAAAAAAGUAAGAGAGAAAGAAAUUGCUUGGGCCUGAAAGGGAAUCACCCACAAGCAAACAUUUUCAACACAUCGUAAGGGAUGAAUUAUAAAAUGAGAGAGAGAGAGAGAGAGAGAGAGAGAGAGAGAGAGAGAGAGAGAGAGA
rnacentral:lncRNA from 1 species